GAUCUCUUCUGGAGAUCCCUCCUCUGGAAUUUUGCAGUAAGCCCAGGAUGCAGGUGGGGAAUGAAAAUGGCACCUCUAAGCCUUGAAGCAGAGAUCUCUGUCGUGUCAAGAUCCUUCCCUAUGAAGUUCAGAUCCAAGCCUUGUCUUCAGGGGACACAGAGACUCCUGCUACACCACAGUCACAGCCCAGAGAAAAAUGACAGCAAACUCGAUGCUGUUCUCAGCUUAUCUGCCAAGACCAAUGUAAUGCUGAAGAUGCUGAUGUUCAAUGACAAAAGCAGAAAGGAAAAAUUGUUUCUUAUCUAAAAUCAAAUAGGUGAAGUAUGAAACUAUUCAAUCAUCUUGACUUUCAUGAAGAUCAGCACACACACAAAAAAGCUGUAAUUGUUAUGCUCUCAUGUAAAAUUACAGAGACUGU